rnacentral:rRNA from 1 species
UACGUAGGGUGCAAGCGUUGUCCGGAAUUAUUGGGCGUAAAGAGCUCGUAGGCGGCUUGUCGCGUCGGAUGUGAAAGCCCGAGGCUUAACCUCGGGUCUGCAUUCGAUACGGGCAGGCUAGAGUGUGGUAGGGGAGAUCGGAAUUCCUGGUGUAGCGGUGAAAUGCGCAGAUAUCAGGAGGAACACCGGUGGCGAAGGCGGAUCUCUGGGCCAUUACUGACGCUGAGGAGCGAAAGCGUGGGGAGCGAACAGG